AGAGUUUGAUCAUGGCUCAGAGCGAACGCUGGCGGCAGGCUUAACACAUGCAAGUCGAGCGGGCGUAGCGAUACGUCAGCGGCAGACGGGUGAGUAACGCGUGGGAACGUACCUUUUGGUUCGGAACAACACAGGGAAACUUGUGCUAAUACCGGAUAAGCCCUUACGGGGAAAGAUUUAUCGCCGAAAGAUCGGCCCGCGUCUGAUUAGCUAGUUGGUGAGGUAAUGGCUCACCAAGGCGACGAUCAGUAGCUGGUCUGAGAGGAUGAUCAGCCACAUUGGGACUGAGACACGGCCCAAACUCCUACGGGAGGCAGCAGUGGGGAAUAUUGGACAAUGGGCGCAAGCCUGAUCCAGCCAUGCCGCGUGAGUGAUGAAGGCCCUAGGGUUGUAAAGCUCUUUUGUGCGGGAAGAUAAUGACGGUACCGCAAGAAUAAGCCCCGGCUAACUUCGUGCCAGCAGCCGCGGUAAUACGAAGGGGGCUAGCGUUGCUCGGAAUCACUGGGCGUAAAGGGUGCGUAGGCGGGUCUUUAAGUCAGGGGUGAAAUCCUGGAGCUCAACUCCAGAACUGCCUUUGAUACUGAGGAUCUUGAGUUCGGGAGAGGUGAGUGGAACUGCGAGUGUAGAGGUGAAAUUCGUAGAUAUUCGCAAGAACACCAGUGGCGAAGGCGGCUCACUGGCCCGAUACUGACGCUGAGGCACGAAAGCGUGGGGAGCAAACAGGAUUAGAUACCCCAGUAGUCC
rnacentral:rRNA from 1 species